rnacentral:lncRNA from 1 species
CCAUGCACAUUAACAUUCCAAGCAGAUCUGAUAACAUCAAGGAAAUGAGGAUAAGUACUCAACAUGUUAAAGAAUCUAAACGGUUUCUUGCCUCUUAGUGUCGCUUUGUCUACGUGUAUGUACAUUAAAGAAUGAUGUGAAAAUAAUGGAGUACCAUACUCAAGAAGUGAAUCUAGGUAAAUUGUUAACCAUUCCUGAUUAAUCAAACACCUAUCAAGUCGAGCCAUUAUUUUUCUGUUAGCAGCACCUUGAUUACUCCAAGAGAGCCAAUUACCCACAGAUUCAUAUCAAUCAAUGCAGCAAUAUCUAUGUAAUCAUUAAAAUUUUGAAGCUGGCUUUCUGAAAGUUGUCUACCCCCCACUUG